rnacentral:rRNA from 1 species
UACGGAGGGUGCAAGCGUUAAUCGGAAUUACUGGGCGUAAAGGGUGCGUAGGUUGUUUUUUAAGUUAUCUGUAAAAUCCCUGGGCUCAACCUGGGCAUGCCAGAUAAGACUGAAAGACUCGAGUAUGGGAGAGGGUAGUGGAAUUUCCGGUGUAGCGGUGAAAUGCGUAGAGAUCGGAAGGAACACCAGUGGCGAAGGCGGCUACCUGGCCUAAUACUGACACUGAGGCACGAAAGCGUGGGGAGCAAACAGG